rnacentral:tRNA from 1 species
UGGGGUGAGCUCAGUGGGAGAGCACUUGCCUAGCAUCUGCAAGGCCCUGGGUUCGAUCCCCAGCACUUCAC